rnacentral:rRNA from 1 species
GACGAACGCUGGCGGCGUGCUUAACACAUGCAAGUCGAACGGAAAGGUCCGGCUCUUGUGGGGUGCUCGAGUGGCGAACGGGUGAGUAACACGUGAGUAAACCGCCCCUGACUGUGGGAGAACUCCAGGAAACUGGGGCGAAUAUCGGAGAGGAGCUCUUGAUGCAUGGUGGGGGUUGGUAAGUUUCGGCGGUUGUGGAUGGACUCGCGGCUUAUCCGCUUGUUGGUGGGGUAGUGGCUUACCAAGGCUUUGACGGGUAGCCGGCCUGGGAGGGUGACCGGCCACAUUGGGACUGCGAUACGGCCCAGUCUCCUACGGGAGGCAGCAGUGGGGAAUAUUGCACAAUGGGCGGAAGCCUGAUGCAGCAACGCCGCGUGCGGGAUGACGGCCUUCGGGUUGUAAACCGCUUUCGCCUGUGCCGAAGCGUGAGUGACGGUAAUGGGUAAAGAAGCCCCGGCUAACUACGUG